rnacentral:rRNA from 1 species
GGAAUAUUGCACAAUGGGCGAAAGCCUGAUGCAGCGACGCCGCGUGAACGAAGAAGUAUUUCGGUAUGUAAAGUUCUAUCAGCAGGGAAGAAAAAUGACGGUACCUGACUAAGAAGCUCCGGCUAAAUACGUGCCAGCAGCCGCGGUAAUACGUAUGGAGCAAGCGUUAUCCGGAUUUACUGGGUGUAAAGGGAGCGUAGGCGGUGGUUUAAGUCUGAUGUGAAAGCCCGGGGCUCAACCCCGGUAUUGCAUUGGAAACUGGAUCACUAGAGUGUCGGAGGGGUAAGUGGAAUUCCUAGUGUAGCGGUGAAAUGCGUAGAUAUUAGGAGGAACACCAGUGGCGAAGGCGGCUUACUGGACGAUUACUGACGCUGAGGCUCGAAAGCGUGGGGAGCAAACA